rnacentral:lncRNA from 1 species
UUGCUCCACAUUGCUGGGAAAGAAGGAGAUGUUUUUAGCCACCAGCAGUGCAAGAUGGGCAGCAGUUGUCACUCGAACUGUGCCUAGGGAGAAAAAAGAAUAAGCAGAGAAGAAUCCUUAGGCUUGCCUUGCUUCCUAGCAUGUCAGGAAAGCAAGGAAAUGCUCUUUUCACACUUCUUUGAGCAAGCCACUUGCUUUGGCCUCCCAAAGUGCUGGGAUUACAGGCGUGGUGAACCACGGCGCCUGGUUGGAAGAUUUUCAUUCAACCUUAUAAUGCCUUUUCUGAGUAACUUAUCAGAUGGUUAGAAAAUACAACAAAAAAAAUCUUUCAGUCUUUUGCAAACUCAUGAAUUUCUUUUAAUUAAACCAGACUUUUAAAGGUUUUGAGGCUACA